CUAACAUUUGUCAUUACCGGCAACAGAAUCGUGAAACCAUAUGGAAAGAAGCUGGCUAAUACUCAGUCCUAAUGAAUAAGGGCCUACUACUUGUAAUUCACAGAGCGAUUACAGGGAGUCAAAUACAGACCCUCUCGGAAAGAGAAAACCGAAGACACACACUGUCUAUUGUCUCAGCCCUCCUCAGUUGACCACACAGAACCAAUGGUUGGAUAAGGAGCAAAGGAGAGAUUACCGAUCACGGACAGGUGCCCACAGAGCGUGUGCAGUGCCGGGAAGCAGAAGGAAAGGCGAGAUUCUUCAAGAUUUCUGUUUGGGGGUGAGGGGCGGAGACCAAAUGCUGGUCAGGCCUCCAGCAACUUACAGCUGACUCUGGAACAACACUUGGACUGCACAGGUCCACUUAUAUAUACAUGGAUCGUUUCUGGUAUCGUACUAUACACGUAUUCUCUCUUUCUUGUGGUUUCCUUAAAUAUUUUCUUUUCUCUAGCUUACUUAGCUGUAAGAAUAUAAUAGACAUAACGUACAAACCAUGUGUUAAGCGACUGUUUCAUGCGAAUGGUAAGGCUUCUGGUCAACAGUAGACUAUUCGCAGUUAAACUUUUGAACAGUCGGAAGUUAGACACUCGUUUCGGACAGUGCGGAGCCCUGGUGUUGUUCAAGGGA